rnacentral:rRNA from 1 species
AGCGAACGCUGGCGGCAGGCCUAACACAUGCAGGUCGAACGAUCCUUCGGGAUAAUGGCGGACGGGUGAGUAACACGUGGGAACGUACCUUUAGGUUCGGGAUAACUCAGGGAAACUUGAGCUAAUACCGGAUAAGCCCUUUUGGGGAAAGAUUUAUCGCCUUUAGAGCGGCCCGCGUUAGAUUAGCUAGUUGGUGAGGUAAAGGCUCACCAAGGCUCCGAUCUAUAGCUGGUCUGAGAGGAUGAUCAGCCACACUUGGACUGAGACACGGCCCAGACUCCUACGGGAGGCAGCAGUGGGGAAUCUUGCGCAAUGGGCGAAAGCCUGACGCAGCCAUGCCGCGUGAAUGAUGAAGGUCUUAGGAUUGUAAAGCUCUUUCACCGAUGAAGAUAAUGACGGUAGUCGGAGAAGAAGCCCCGGCUAACUUCGUGCCAGCCGCCGCGGUAA